rnacentral:rRNA from 1 species
CAGCAGCCGCGGGAAUACGAAGGGGGCUAGCGUUGUUCGGAUUUACUGGGCAUAAAGCGCACGUAGGCGGAUCCUUAAGUCAGAGGUGAAAUCCCAAGGCUCAACCUUGGAACUGCCUUUGAUACUGGGGAUCUCGAGUUCGGGAGAGGUGAGUGGAACUGCGAGUGUAGAGGUGAAAUUCGUAGAUAUUCGCAAGAACACCAGUAGCGAAGGCGGCUCACUGGCCCGAUACUGACGCUGAGGUGCGAAAGCGUGGGGAGCAAACAGGAUUAGAGACCCCCGUAGUCCCUGUCUCUUAUAC